GAGAGAGAAGGGAGGGAAAGGAGCGGGAGAAAGCGAGCAGGCAGGCAGGCAGCGGCAGCUCUCGCACGCACACCCCCGCUGGAAAAGCAAACACAUCGGUGGAGGCAGAGCCGGGCAGAGAGGGCUGCGGGGCAGGCUGGCCGCGGGCUGUGCCGAGGAGGUGGGGGAGCUGGGGGAAGCCAGUCUCACAGGCAGGCACCCAGGGCUGGGACCUGAAGGUGCAGAGGAGCGUGGCACAGUUCUGCUGUCCCUGCCUAUCUGCUGCUUCAGUGACAGACUUGGCAGUGGGUGAGUUCAGCAACUUUGGUGGGCAAAUGUUCCUGCUUCGAAGCUCCAGCUGUCACUCACUCAGAGCAGGAAUCUCACUUGCCAACAUUACAGAACACUAGGACCAAACAGAAAUUCCAAACUCUGCCAGUUCCCGGGAGCUGGGCUGCGUUAUGUAACGGCAGAUCGCGCGGGGUGCUUUCCGACACCGGCUUGAUAGCCUCAAUCAGGCGGAGGCAACGUGGGUGGAACUCUUAUCACACCAGGCUGGCUCCCGUGAAUGAGCAGAGCACUUGCACGUUCUAGAAAUAGUACGUGCAUUAGUAUUCCUGCAGGAGAAACUUGGGCGCGCUGCUUUGCCUUUUCUCAUUUUUCUUCUUUUUUUUUUUUGUCUUUCCCCUUUUUAAUAAAGGCUGAAAAUAAACUGAUUUUGCAAGCUCUUACUGGCAGGCACAGCACACACAGCAGCGAGUCCGUGCAGGAUCACAGACAUCUGAGCGCCAGGUGACAGAAAGAUUUCGUUAUCGGCUCGCCCUAGGCAGGACCUGGAAUAAAACCCUGAACUUGGGGAGACUUUUUUUCCAUGGGUUGUUCAGCGAGGCCUGGGAUUUCAGCCUGCCUCUGCUUGCACAGCACCUAGCAUGAUGGAGCCCUGAACCUUACCUGCACUUUCUGGGGAUCACUAAAAUAAAUGGCACAAAGUGCUCAGGGAACAGACUUUGAAGUGGCAAAAACCCUCCCUUGAAGCACACAAAGAGUUUUGCUUGUGUGUGGGCAGGCAGAGGAAGGCAUUACUAAAAAAUUAAUUUUAAAUCAAAUGUUUGAUUUCAGCCAAACUGGGUUUAGUUUGCACUACUCACUUGUCAUAUUGUAGGUUUAAUAUUUAUACGUCUUUUUUUAAGUAAACACGUGACCUGCCCCUGAGCGUUUCUGUGCUACAUUUCAAGCCAACGUGAUUUAAACUAUGUGCAUUUAAAACCUCCCAGAACCUGACCUAUAAUGCAAAUCCAUACAGUCUUAAUUAUUGCAGCACCAGCAGCCACGGCACGAGUGAGGUAGCUGAGCUUUUGUUACUAAAGAGGCACGGUAGUUAUGGUCUGUCAGUGCCCCUGUUACAAUCCCCAUCUUGAAGAGGUUAUAACUUGGGCUGUGUAAAUUUGAUUGAGCUGAAACGUGGGACUCCAACUGUCAGUCCAUAUAGGGAAUAAUCUUAUGAAUAAUUGGCUAACCCAUUGCUUGAUUCACAGACUUUCAUAAAAUGAUUUUUAAUGGGUUUUAAUGUUUUUUUCUUUUACUGACAUCUAGGGUAUGAAUUUGGUACUUCUAGCUCUUCUGAAGCUCCCUACUCAAUGGAAUAUGUAUGGAUACCCCAGGUAAAUCUACAGCUACCCUGAGGAUUUCACAGGGCUCACCUGCCAUCCUGACCCACCUGCGUGUUCCUACACACUGAGAAGAGGCCAGGAACAAGAAAUUACACUUUAGUUAUCUCCAAAGAGGUCCUAAAUGUGUAAGAUAAAGAGAACAUAAAUAAAUAUCUUUGCUAACA